GCUUCGACUAAGGUUCGAUUCGAGCGCAGCGAGAAAGCGUUGCCGCAGGCAACGACCCGAAGGGCGAAGCGCUGAGUCAUCCUUCCCCCACCACCA
rnacentral:sRNA from 1 species